AUUGAACGCUGGCGGCAGGCCUAACACAUGCAAGUCGAACGAGUGGCGGACGGGUGAGUAAUGUCGGGGAAACUGCCUGAUGGAGGGGGAUAACCACGGGAAACGGUAGCUAACACCACAAACCAUCAGGUGUGCCCAGAUGGGAUGAGCUAGUUGGUGGGGUAACGGCUCACCAAGGCGACGAUCCCUAGCUGGUCUGAGAGGAUGACCAGCCACACUGGAACUGAGACACGGUCCAGACUCCUACGGGAGGCAGCAGUGGGGAAUAUUGCACAAUGGGCGCAAGCCUGAUGCAGCCAUGCCGCGUGUAUGAAGAAGGCCUUCGGGUUGUAAAGUACUUUCAGCGGGGAGGCGUUACCCGCAGAAGAAGCACCGGCUAACUCCGUGCCAGCAGCCGCGGUAAUUC
rnacentral:rRNA from 1 species